GGUGACGUCACACAGGCUGGCUUGCUGGUCCGAGUCCCUGUCUUCCCAGAGCUGGAUUCUGCUCCAUCACGGGGACUUGGCCCUCGGCGUGCCUCACCCUCCCCAGCUGCUGGGUCAGAUAUCUGGUUGGGAAGCAACUCCCAGGAGCAGAGUGGGUUUCCCAGAGCAGCGAGGACGCCAUAGUGACAGCGUCUGCAUUUCCUCCAGGACACACGUGGCGGAGCUGUUUAGCAAAGGAACAGCAGUGAGACCUCCCGGCUGUGGCCUGUGACGGCUGCCCCAGAGGCAACUCCUGGAGCAUCGUGCUCAGCUGUGGUCCACACCUCCGGGGGCGCCGUCAGCCUCCUGGAGACAGCACUGUGUUGUUCCUGUACACCAAAGUGUCUUCUGUACCCAGUGCAGAGCUGGAAAGAGGUACUCGUGAACUCGUGGUUUUAUUGACCACAGGGGCACCGUGAGGUCAGGACAUUACACUGCCUAUGCAAAGGCAAGAGCUGCCAACAGUCCCCUCUCUAAUCUGUUCCCCACGGCGCUAUUCCACAAGGUCAUGAAAUGCAGUCAGCCAAAGGGCAGUGGUUUCACAUCAGUGACACACGUGCAAGCUGUGCCCGCAGGGGAAGUCCUGAACGCACGGGCGUACCUCCUGUUUCACGAGCGAGCACCGUGACCCCGGCCAACAGCGCUGCCUCCACAAACAGGUCCGCAGCUCUAAAAUGUCUGUGAUUAGUAAAGUGAAGACUGUCAAAUCAUGUUCACUUAAAGACAUGCCGGAGGAAAUCAUGUUUCUUAAAAUAUUGAAGGGAAAAUACCUAGAAUU